UCAGUCGGCCGGACGGCCGCUCCCUUCAAGGAGAGGAAAGUCCGGGCUCCAUCGACAUACGGUGCCGGAUAACUUCCGGCGGGGGCGACCCCAGGGAAAGUGCCACAGAGAACGAACCGCUUUCUCCUUCGGGAGGCAGCAAGGGUGAAAAGGUGCGGUAAGAGCGCACCGCGGGUCCGGCAACGGAACCGGCAUGGUAAACCCCACCGGGAGCAAGACCGAAUAGGGACGGCAACGCAGGUCAUUCGCGAAGGCGAUAAUGCCUGCGGGAGCGAUGUCAGGCUCGCCGUCCGGGUUGGUUGCUCGAGGCCGCGCGCAAGCCCGGUCCCAGAGGAAUGGCCGUCGCGUCUUGUCUGCGCAAGCAGGCAAGGCCCUACAGAACCCGGCUUACAGGCCGGCUGAUGCU
rnacentral:RNase_P_RNA from 1 species